rnacentral:rRNA from 1 species
GAUGAACGCUGGCGGCGUGCCUAAUACAUGCAAGUCGAGCGAACGGACGAGAAGCUUGCUUCUCUGAUGUUAGCGGCGGACGGGUGAGUAACACGUGGAUAACCUACCUAUAAGACUGGGAUAACUUCGGGGAACCGGAGCUAAUACCGGAUAAUAUUUUGAACCGCAUGGUUCAAAAGUGAAAGACGGUCUUGCUGUCACUUAUAGAUGGAUCCGCGCUGCAUUAGCUAGUUGGUAAGGUAACGGCUUACCAAGGCAACGAUGCAUAGCCGACCUGAGAGGGUGAUCGGCCACACUGGAACUGAGACACGGUCCAUACUCCUACGGGAGGCAGCAGUAGGGAAUCUUCCGCAAUGGGCGAAAGCCUGACGGAGCAACGCCGCGUGAGUGAUGAAGGUCUUCGGAUCGUAAAACUCUGUUAUUAGGGAAGAACAUAUGUGUAAGUAACUGUGCACAUCUUGACGGUACCUAAUCAGAAAGCCACGGCUAACUACGUG